rnacentral:rRNA from 1 species
CAAUAGCGUAUAUUAAAGUUGUUGCAGUUAAAAAGCUCGUAGUUGGAUUUGUGGCGUACGGUGUGUUCCGGGCACUUGUUGCCUGAGUAACCUGCUGUUGCCCUCCUUGGGUGGAACCUGUGUGGCAUUAGGUUGUCGUGCAGGGGAUGCCCAUCAUUUACUGUGAAAAAAUUAGAGUGUUCAAAGCAGGCUUAUGCCGUUGAAUAUAUUAGCAUGGAAUAAUGAGAUAGGACUUUUUUGCUAUUUUGUUGGUUUGCGCAAAGAGGUAAUGAUUAAUAGGGACAGUUGGGGGUAUUCGUAUUCCAUUGUCAGAGGUGAAAUUCUUGGAUUUUUGGAAGACGAACUACUGCGAAAGCAUUUACCAAGGAUGUUUUCAUUAA